GUGGGGAAUAUUGGACAAUGGGGGGAACCCUGAUCCAGCCAUGCCGCGUGUGUGAAGAAGGCCUUUUGGUUGUAAAGCACUUUAAGCGAGGAGGAGGCUACCGAGAUUAAUACUCUUGGAUAGUGGACGUUACUCGCAGAAUAAGCACCGGCUAACUCUGUGCCAGCAGCCGCGGUAAUACAGAGGGUGCAAGCGUUAAUCGGAUUUACUGGGCGUAAAGCGCGCGUAGGUGGCCAAUUAAGUCAAAUGUGAAAUACCCGAGCUUAACUUGGGAAUUGCAUUCGAUACUGGUUGGCUAGAGUAUGGGAGAGGAUGGUAGAAUGCCAGGUGUAGCGGUGAAAUGCGUAGAGAUCUGGAGGAAUACCGAUGGCGAAGGCAGCCAUCUGGCCUAAUACUGACACUGAGGUGCGAAAGCAUGGGGAGCAAACAGGAUUAGAAACCCCGGUAGUCC
rnacentral:rRNA from 1 species